UCGGUACCUGAAGAAUAGCACCGGCUAACUACGUGCCAGCAGCCGCGGUAAUACGUAGGGUGCAAGCGUUAAUCGGAAUUACUGGGCGUAAAGCGUGCGCAGGCGGUUAUACAAGACAGGUGUGAAAUCCCCGGGCUUAACCUGGGAAUGGCAUCUGUGACUGUAUAGCUAGAGUGUGUCAGAGGGGGGUAGAAUUCCACGUGUAGCAGUGAAAUGCGUAGAGAUGUGGAGGAAUACCAAUGGCGAAGGCAGCCCCCUGGGAUAACACUGACGCUCAUGCACGAAAGCGUGGGGAGCAAACAGGAUUAGAUACCCUGGUAGUCCACGCCCUAAACGAUGCUGACUAGUUGUUCGGGAAUUACUUCCUGAGUAACGUAGCUAACGCGUGAAGUCAGCCGCCUGGGGAGUACGGUCGCAAGAUUAAAACUCAAAGGAAUUGACGGGGACCCGCACAAGCGGUGGAUGAUGUGGAUUAAUUCGAUGCAACGCGAAAAAACUUAACUACACUUGA
rnacentral:rRNA from 1 species